GUGGGGAAUCUUCCGCAAUGGACGAAAGUCUGACGGAGCAACGCCGCGUGAGUGAUGAAGGUCUUCGGAUUGUAAAGCUCUGUUAAUCGGGACGAAAGAGCCUAGUGUGAAUAAUGCUAGGAAGUGACGGUACCGGAAUAGAAAGCCACGGCUAACUACGUGCCAGCAGCCGCGGUAAUACGUAGGUGGCAAGCGUUGUCCGGAAUUAUUGGGCGUAAAGCGCGCGCAGGCGGAUCUGCCAGUCUGUCUUAAAAGUUCGGGGCUUAACCCCGUGAUGGGAUGGAAACUACAGAUCUAGAGUAUCGGAGAGGAAAGUGGAAUUCCUAGUGUAGCGGUGAAAUGCGUAGAUAUUAGGAAGAACACCAGUGGCGAAGGCGACUUUCUGGACGAAAACUGACGCUGAGGCGCGAAAGCCAGGGGAGCGAACAGGAUUAGAAACCCGAGUAGUCC
rnacentral:rRNA from 1 species